GGGUAUAAAUCAGUCGAUGAAAUGUAAAAAUGUAGCUCUUUGGUCUGGCAUCGAAGUAGACAAAGAAGAAACAGGCACUUAAUAAACGCCUUUGGAGGCUUGUGAUUUGCGUGGGGCUUCCAAUAAAAGGCAAAGUCUUUGCUUUGAGGUUACACACUCUGAACCCAGGGUGCUCCUUGGGCCUCUGGUCACAGCACAAGCAGUGCUGGUGCCUCGAUCCACAACCCUGGCCCUCGCAGCUCGGCCAUCUCUGGGACCCAGCAGGAAAGAGGGAAGGCUCCUUCCUGCAGCCAGCAGCAGACAUGCCCCCUUGAUGGCUUCUUUGGAAACCAGGGCAGGAGGCGAUUCAAACACUACAGCAACAGUUCCAAACGCGGUCCCUGGACCAGCACAGCAGCAGCACCCGGACGCAUGUUAGAAAUGAGCAUUCAGAGGCCUGCCCCAGACCUGCUGAAGCGGACACUCGGGGGCUGGGCCCCAUAGGCUUGUUUGAACAAGACUCUCCAGAAGAUCCCGAUGCCCCCUGGAGUCUGAGAACUCUAGAACACAGAGAAGAUGCAAAAAUUGGUGCAGCUCCAAGCCAGGCUAUUGUGGAUUAUCGGCAAUCUUGCAACCAAUUAGGAUACGGCAUUCUGAUGAGCCACAGAGGCUUAAUAAUUAGUAUAGUAUUUGCAUGCAAGCUGCUUGCUGUGAAUUUGCAUGUAAAUAAAAAUGUGGCUAUCAAAACCAACCAGAAACAGCCCACUGAUGAAAAAUUCUCAAAAGGGUCCAACGUCAAAAAGGAAAAGGCCUGUGAAGGAAAGAGGCUUACAUGUUGUGAUGCUGUAUCUCAUGUUGCCUAUGUCUGCACCAGCCUCAAGAUUCAUCUUUAAAGUAAAAUUUCCGAGGGCAGUCUGUGUUGAAGAAGAUUCAGCCCUGUCCUCCUCCACUGGGGAACCACAUGCACUCUUUUCCAACUUGGUCCAAUGAGGAAGCCUCCACAUGGGUUUUGGGUGCAACUGGACAAAGGUGAUGCCUCCUCCCGCCGCCCCUCCCCCAGCUGCAAUGAUAUUCCAGACCCUUGUCUACUGGAGACCGGCGUCCCCCUGGCAUUACAACCGUCAUCCCAAUGUUCUCAUUUUAUACGAGAAAAACCUGAGACCCAGAGGGCUUGAGUGAAUUGUGCAGUCUCUGUACUUGUCUAUCUGGUCAAGGGCAGGUCUGGAUUCCCACUGAGACCAAGGGCUCCCGCCGGGGCCCUCGGAAGGAUGGUGAAGGCUGGGAGAUGCCUGCACCUGACUCCAGCUUGUGUCCUCAGGCUCGUUGCCACUCAGAUGAAGCAACUCAGGCACCACUGGACAUGUUCCCUGCCCUGCCUGUGGUUCACAGUGUUAGGUUGGUUUUCCCUCUUUCACCUUUAAAAAUAUCACCCAUGGAGACAUUUGAACCUCUGCUGGAACUGAGGUCGGCAUCAGUCCCUAUGACAGCUCAAUGUGACCAAGACUAGGAGCAUCUAUGACACGAGCUCAUCCAUUCACGGGGUUGAAGCCCCAAGUCAAAAUGCCACCUGCCUGGGACAGACGCCUCCUGAUAAGCCCCUUGUGGGCCUGCUUCUAAACUGGAUCUCAAGAAAGCAGAGAAAUGGAGGAAGAAAGAAGCAAGCCUGGGACUGGGCACUAGGAGGAACCUCUUUUACCCAUGAGAAAAAUGAGGUGUUGAGAGGUUAAGCACCCUGCCUAAGUUCACCCAGAUCUUCAGCAGAAGAGCCAAGGCUUGCACCCAGAUGGUCUGCCCCCAGGUCUUGGGUGCUGAAUAACCCUCUCCUCUUCCAUCUUUCUGAGUGAUCCCGAUGGUCCCCAUGUGACGCUGCCAUUCACAGCUCUCUGUUCCGGUCACCCAGCUCCUAGGAGGCUGCGGUGAUGCGAUUCCCCACAGCAGAGUUAUGGAGAAACCCUCCCCUCCACAUGCCCAGCCACCCCAAGUGGCAGCAUUUGAGAACAAAACUGUGCACCUUUCCACCUUCUCAGGUCUUGAAGGAGCUUCCUGAACCAAGCAGAUUGAAUGGUACGGCAGGAGAGACAGGGAAAUUCAGAGCAAGAACAAGCUGUAAAGAGGCCUUGCUGAGACUUGGGGCAAGUGAUGGAAAACUCACUUCAAGAGGCUUAAGCAUAAAAAAAGAGGGAAAUUUAUUUUCCUAAUGCAUUUCUGUGUAGUGGGGACUAUUGAAACGCUUGCUCAAGUUCACACAAGCGGAUGACAGAGCUGGGAUGGAACCCAGACGGCUCGGUGCUCUAACCACGGGCUGGCAGCCAUGACGCCACCUGAGAGCUUGUUAGAACUGCAGUGCCUCAGGCCCCUCCUCGACUCCUGUCGGAUUCUGCUUCUGCUUCUAACAAGGUCCCAGGUGACACAUCUGUGCAUUCCAGCCUGAGAAGUGUGCCCCAGAGAACCGUCCUAUGUUCUGUCUGGGUCGGUCGGACCUCGAGCUGACGUCCAGGAGCACCGCUGGCAGGAAUCUGCCUGUUCGCUGCUCUGCUUCCGGCACCUAGAACAAUGCCUGUCGUAUAGUCGACGCUCAAUAAAUAUUUCCUGAGUGAAUGCAUAAAUGAAUGAAUGCACUGAAUUUGGGUACGUCUGGUUUAAGCUCCAGGCUCAGAACAGGCUUGAAGAUCUUCAUCCUAUUAGCACGGGGUUUCUGCCAGGGCUGGAGCCCUCCUCCCCAGCCCUGUUGUUGGAAGCUGGGAAGGGGUCGAAAGGUGUCUCUGGCAUGGGGAUUACUCGUCAUUUGGGAUUACCUGCUUCCCUCAUUAGUGGGGGUAAUCAGCAGUGGCAACACAGGCCCAGUGUUGGAUCAAAUCAUAAAAAUUCCCCAAAUCUCCCAGGAAGCUGCCUCUCUCCCAGCCACGUUCCUCAUUUCUUCCGUUUGUUCAUCAAACUGUCCCCACCUUGGGCACACGGGCUGUUCGGCCGCUCACACAUCUCGGCCGCGUUUCACAUCCCUGGGAGUUAUUUCAGCAACAUUUCUCCAAGCAUCUGAGAAGGGUUUUAUUUUUGUUCGGUGAAAAAUCUUCAAAGGCGUCUCUCUGAGCUUUGAGUCCGGCAUGGAGGAUUUGAAACAUUGAAUGGGAAUUGUUAUGUUUUUUCAAGGAGGAAUUAUUCUCAGCAAAGUCUGGGAUGGGCCCGGAGGAGACAGCCAGACGUCUCCAGGUAGAAGGAGCUUCCUGCUGUUUUUGGGGGAAUCAAAGAGAACCCGGGAGCUCCCGCCCCCCACAUGCCUGGCCUGACCCCAGCCUUUCAUGCGCAGCAGCCACAGGGAGGAGAGAAAGCACAAAACCCGAAAAAACCCCCAAAGUAAAGGCUUAAAAUGAAACCAUUUCACGAGGACAAUACUCUGUUCUUCUUUAAACUCUACCCAAGAACAAAUGGAAGUCUUUUUUCAGGGGAAAGACUGGAUAUGGGCUUUGAUCCUCAGAGGCCUUUAUUUUGGGUACCUCCCCGCCUGACCUCCUUUCGUUAUCUCCAAACUCCCUAGAGGCCAGGGUGGGGGUGGGGGAGGACAGGAGCCUCCAACCCUCCCCAGGUGAGGACCCCUGGCCUGGGUCUGGGGGCGCUUGGUAGGGCCAGCUCGGGUUUGGGGGAUAGUGAAGGGUCUGCUUUUAUCUGGGCGGUCUAGGACAAGUUAAGUCCAGAGAAAUAAUGGUGUCCGUUCCCUUCCAUCACCAAAGCGGGGCAUCUCUUUUGCAACGCGCUUUCCCAGGGAGGGUCAUCACAGAGCUGGUGCACUUGGGUGGAAAUCUGGAUGUUAAAAUAAAAUACUGUCAUGCAUCCCACUUAAGCAGUGUGACUCUGGGUCCCUGUACCGUGUGUGGAGCAGACGCAGCAGGAAGGUGGCAGGGAAGGCUGUCUUAGCCACACUGCCCUUCCAGGCCACCCGGAAGCCCGGAU
ensembl:lncRNA